AUACGGAGGGUGCAAGCGUUAAUCGGAAUUACUGGGCGUAAAGCGUACGUAGGCGGUCCGUUAAGUUAGAUGUGAAAGCCCCGGGCUUAACCUGGGAACUGCAUUUAAAACUGGCGGACUAGAGUUGAGUAGAUGGGAGUGGAAUUUCAGGUGUAGCGGUGAAAUGCGUAGAGAUCAGAAGGAACACCAGUGGCGAAGGCGACUCCCUGGACUCGAACUGACGCUGAGGUACGAAAGCGUGGGUAGCAAACGGGAUUAGAUACCCUAGUAGUCC
rnacentral:rRNA from 1 species